rnacentral:miRNA from 1 species
AGCUGGCUGUGGAGAAAAGCU